AGCGGCGGACGGGUGAGUAACGCGUGGGUAACCUGCCCUAUACACACGGAUAACAUACCGAAAGGUAUGCUAAUACGAGAUAAUAUAAGAGAUUCACAUGGAUUUCUUAUCAAAGCUGAGGCGGUAUAGGAUGGACCCGCGUCUGAUUAGCUAGUUGGUAAGGUAACGGCUUACCAAGGCGACGAUCAGUAGCCGACCUGAGAGGGUGAUCGGCCACAUUGGAACUGAGACACGGUCCAAACUCCUACGGGAGGCAGCAGUGGGGAAUAUUGCACAAUGGGCGAAAGCCUGAUGCAGCAACGCCGCGUGAGUGAUGAAGGCCUUCGGGUCGUAAAACUCUGUCCUCAAGGAAGAUAAUGACGGUACUUGAGGAGGAAGCCCCGGCUAACUACGUGCCAGCAGCCGCGGUAAUACGUAGGGGGCUCGCGUUAUCCGGAUUUACAGGGCGUAAAGGGUGCGUAGGUGGUCUCUUAAGUCAGGAGUGAAAGACUACGGCUUAACCGUAGUAAGCUCUUGAAACUGGGAGACUUGAGUGCAGGAGAGGAAAGUGGAAUUCCUAGUGUAGCGGUGAAAUGCGUAGAUAUUAGGAGGAACACCAGUAGCGAAGGCGGCUUUCUGGACUGUAACUGACACUGAGGCACGAAAGCGUGGGGAGCAAACAGGAUUAGAUACCCUGGUAGUCCACGCCGUAAACGAUGAGUACUAGGUGU
rnacentral:rRNA from 1 species